GCAGGCCAGCCCCUAGAGAAGGCUUCCUUACCUGAGAUUUUCCCUUCUGACACUCUCACUGUUUGAGUCUUGCUCUGUUUUCAUUCUUUUUUCUUAGAAACUGUUUAUUUUCCAUCAACCUUACUUCCAUUUUCUGUUGAACAGUCUGUGGAAGGACAGACUAAGACCAUUCAGUGGUUGUACCCACCCGUUUGGUGGCCUGAGCAGUGGCAGUUGCAGACCAAUCAGACUCAGUAGGGAACUGCUGAACAGGCUCAGGGGACACCUGCACCUUCCGACCAGCCGGCGACCUCUGGUUGGGUAGCAGUAAAUUCGGGAGUUGGAGCAGUCCAUUCACCCUGAAAUUCCUCUUGGCCACAGCCAUUUCAGCCGCGGCCUGCUCUUCCUUUUCAAUCUCUUCAGGAUCUCUGAGAAGUAGAGACGAGACGCGACUUCCAAGGGAGUUCAUGGGAUGGCGCCACGCAUGCGCAGAAUUUCCCGGACCACCAUCCAUCAUCUCAGUCCCGCUCAGUGAGCUCCCUGUGGUUGCACGGGAUGACACUGUCCACAUGGCAGAGGAGGGUCUGUGUUAUAUAACAAUGGUUGGCAGGUUAACGUAGGACGCCUCUGUGAGAGGCUGGUGGUCGGCCCUGGGAUCAGUAACCAGCGGAGGUUGGGGCUGCAGGAAGGCCCCCUGGAACUGGACCCUCAACCACGCUCUGUGGGGUGGUUGACUCCUCACAGUCCCAGCUGCUUUCCUGUGGAUGCACCCCACUGGCCGAUACGUCUUGUAAAGUGUGGCUUCCACAACUGGACACGAGAUUCCAGAGUUGAAAUUAUACUCAGAGGUGAAAUUAUAAUAAGAAAGCCUUUGGAGAAUGGCUCUCGAAACAAUUCAGAAGGUUAAACUACAAAUGACUUAUUAGAAAAGGUUGACAGAGAAGAAAAGGAGGUCUAUGGACAUAUGCAUUGACAAAUGAGGCCCCUCUGCAAAUGAAGCUUCCUGAAACUUGUAUCAGAUUGGAGCCUGCCCAGUGCCAUCUACUGCUGAUGUUCUGACCGCGUAGCCAGCAACAACACAGUUGACUUUAAUGAAAACAGAAUGUGGAGACCGAACACAAGUCUGCAUCCAAAUGCCGCCAGAUAUCUGGAGGGAAAUUGAAAAAUUCAUGCAACCAUGAGAAUGUUUUAAAUUAUCAGAUGUUAGGCAAGUUGAGCAUAACCUAAAUUUGUCGUUUUCCUUUUCUUUCAGGGGUAAUGGUAGAGAAAAGAUGCUUCUUUAAUUUCUGUCUGAUCAUGGUUCUUUCUGAGUUUCACAGAUCUUUUAAUAAGUAAAUAACUGAUCAGUGUAAAAGCUCUUAUUAUUUGUGGUUAGUGCCAGCAUCCAGCACCUCAAUAUUUAACCUGUAUAAUAUCUGUUAAUGUUUUAUUCAUGCUCACCAGAGAGGUUAUGAGAGCUUUGUUAAUUGCAUAAUUUUCCUUUGUCUAAAUACAUACACUUCUGUUUAUUUCUGACUUGGAGAACAACUUGUUCUUUCUUUUCUUUUCUUUUUGCUUUUCAGUUUGGGCUUAUGUCUCAGAAUUAAAAUCUAGGGUCCAUUAGGCGUCAUUCAUCUGUGAGAUGAAUUCUAUAUUCCAUCUAUUGAUUCCAUUGUGGGUGAACAUUUGCAGGGUUUA
ensembl:lncRNA